rnacentral:rRNA from 1 species
UGGGGAAUUUUGGACAAUGGGCGAAAGCCUGAUCCAGCAAUGCCGCGUGUGUGAAGAAGGCCUUCGGGUUGUAGAGCACUUUUGUCCGGAAAGAAAUCCUCUGGGUUAAUACCUCGGGGGGAUGACGGUACCGGAAGAAUAAGCACCGGCUAACUACGUGCCAGCAGCCGCGGUAAUACGUAGGGUGCAAGCGUUAAUCGGAAUUACUGGGCGUAAAGCGUGCGCAGGCGGUUUUGUAAGACGGAUGUGAAAUCCCCGGGCUUAACCUGGGAACUGCAUUCGUGACUGCAAGGCUAGAGUAUGGCAGAGGGGGGUAGAAUUCCACGUGUAGCAGUGAAAUGCGUAGAGAUGUGGAGGAAUACCGAUGGCGAAGGCAGCCCCCUGGGCCAAUACUGACGCUCAUGCACGAAAGCGUGGGGAGCAAACAGGAUUAGAUACCCUGGUAGUCCACGCCCUAAACGAUGUCAACUAGUUGUUGGGGAUUCAUUUCCUUAGUAACGUAGCUAACGCGUGAAGUUGACCGCCUGGGGGAGUACGGUCGCAAGAUUAAAACUCAAAGGAAUUGACGGGGUCAUAGCUGUUUCCU